rnacentral:rRNA from 1 species
AUUGAACGCUGGCGGCAGGCUUAACACAUGCAAGUCGAGCGGGGGAUGUUGCUUCGGUAACUGACCUAGCGGCGGACGGGUGAGUAAUGCUUAGGAAUCUGCCUAUUAGUGGGGGACAACAUUCCGAAAGGAAUGCUAAUACCGCAUACGCCCUACGGGGGAAAGCAGGGGAUCUUCGGACCGUGAGCUAAUAGAUGAGCCUAAGUCAGAUUAGCUAGUUGGUGGGGUAAAGGCCUACCAAGGCGACGAUCUGUAGCGGGUCUGAGAGGAUGAUCCGCCACACUGGGACUGAGACACGGCCCAGACUCCUACGGGAGGCAGCAGUGGGGAAUAUUGGACAAUGGGCGGAAGCCUGAUCCAGCCAUGCCGCGUGUGUGAAGAAGGCCUUUUGGUUGUAAAGCACUUUAAGCGAGGAGGAGGCUACCGAGACUAAUACUCUUGGAUAGUGGACGUUACUCGCAGAAUAAGCACCGGCUAACUCUGUGCCAGCCGCCGCGGUAACAC